GUCACGCUGUAAACGAUGUCGAUUUGGAGGUUGUUCCCUUGAGGAGUGGCUUCCGGAGCUAACGCGUUAAAUCGACCGCUGGGGAGUACGGCCGCAAGGUUAAAACUCAAAUGAAUUGACGGGGGCCCGCACAAGCGGUGGAGCAUGUGGUUUAAUUCGAUGCAACGCGAAGAACCUUACCUACUCUUGACAUCCAGAGAAUUUAGCAGAGAUGCUUUAGUGCCUUCGGGAACUCUGAGACAGGUGCUGCAUGGCUGUCGUCAGCUCGUGUUGUGAAAUGUUGGGUUAAGUCCCGCAACGAGCGCAACCCUUAUCCUUUGUUGCCAGCACGUUAUGGUGGGAACUCAAAGGAGACUGCCGGUGAUAAACCGGAGGAAGGUGGGGAUGACGUCAAGUUAUCAUGGCCCUUACGAGUAGGGCUACACACGUGCUACAAUGGCGUAUACAAAGAGAAGCGACCUCGCGAGAGCAAGCGGAACUCAUAAAGUACGUCGUAGUCCGGAUUGGAGUCUGCAACUCGACUCCAUGAAGUCGGAAUCACUAGUAAUCGUAGAUCAGAAUGCUACGGUGAAUACGUUCCCGGGCCUUGUACACACCGCCCGUCACACCAUGGGAGUGGGUUGCAAAAGAAGUAGGUAGCUUAACCUUCGGGAGGGCGCUUACCACUUUGUGAUUCAUGACUGGGGUGAAGUCGUAACAAGGUAACCA
rnacentral:rRNA from 1 species